GACAAUAACUUGGAGAUUUUUCAAUUUGAUGCCGCCUGCUACUCCGGUUUAUUUAAGUUUGUUUGUAUGUACGGUUGGAUUUAGGCAACUGUUUUACAGGUUUUAUGUCACUUUGCUCACUAUAUUUGACUUUAAAAUUCAAUUAUUAUAUUGAUUUGAUUUGCAAUAAAUUUUCUUCAGUUUAAAGUUAUAUGAGCAAAAUAAUUUGAUGUAGGGUUUAGUUUAUAGUUGAGCUUAGGUAUGGAAGAUGGGAGCGCAUCAAGACAGAGUUCUUCAACUACCUAUGCCACAAUGAUUGUGAAGAUAGCGAUGAUCAUGGCUUGAAAAAACAUCGAAUUGAGUGAGUGGAAUUUAAGAUGACCUCAUCAGAUGUUGUGUAAGAGUAACGGAUUAAGGAAACAAAGUAGCGGGUGUGACAUCCUCCGGGGGGUUCCGUUGAUGAAUUAGUCACUGUUCUUGACGCAAGCCCUAAUUUUGAGAUUUGU
rnacentral:lncRNA from 1 species